GUGUCAGCCGCCGCGGUAAUACAGAGGCCACGAGCGUUAGGCGGAAUCACUGGGCUUAAAGCGUGUGUAGGUGGAUCGGUAAGUACCUUGUAAAAUCCCACAGCUCAACUGUGGAACUGCUUGGUAUACUGCCAGUCUUGAGGCACUCAGGGGCGAGCGGAACAAGUGGUGGAGCGGUGAAAUGCGUAGAUAUCACUUGGAACGCCAAUGGUGAAGACAGCUCGCUGGGGGUGUACUGACACUGAGACACGAAAGCCAGGGGAGCGAACGGGAUUAGAUACCCCUGUAGUCC
rnacentral:rRNA from 1 species